AGGACGAACGCUGGCGGCGUGCCUAACACAUGCAAGUCGAGCGGAAAGGCCCUUCGGGGUACUCGAGCGGCGAACGGGUGAGUAACACGUGAGCAACCUGCCCUUAGCUCUGGGAUAGCUCCGGGAAACCGGAAUUAAUACCGGAUAUUACACCGGCUGGCAUCGGCUGGUGUGGAAAGAUUUAUCGGCUAAGGAUGGACUCGCGGCCUAUCAGCUUGUUGGUGGGGUAGAAGCCUACCAAGGCGACGACGGGUA
rnacentral:rRNA from 1 species